AAAAGGGUUUCGCUCGGGUGUCCUCUGGAGCUCUCUCCUCUCUCCUCCCUCUCUUCCCUUGUCCGUUAUCUUCUUCUACUUCCUUUGAAAUGCCGACCGGUCUCGAUAUCCGAAGCAUCAUCCUCCUCCCAUUCCAUGGAUACUGCUCUGCCGACGUCCACAAGUCAUACUCCCUUCUGCUUUAACAACUUCAGCUUCGCUAAUUACCAUAGACUCCUCAAAAUCAAACCUCCCCAACUCCAUCCCCAUCCCAACUUGAACAAACUUAGAACCUCUUCAGCUCCAGUUUCUGUUUCUGCCAGUCCAAGCGACUGCAGCAGUAGCUCUAAUUUCCCCUCCAACCCCUUCUGGGCUCUGCUCAGAAUCUUGGGCAAUUUCAGAAGUUCAGCAUCCUCACAAGCCCACGAAUGGGCAUCCUGCAUACGAGCUUACGGAGAGUCAACCCCGGCAGUCACAGGCGGCUAUGGCAGUGAAAUCGUCCGCAACGGAGGGAUUGGAGCUGCACUGUUAAGCGUCACUUCCAGUGCCAAGGUCAAGAUCAGUCCUUUCGUGGCGACAUUAGCUGCGAACCCGACUUUUGUCUCGGCCCUUUUCGCAUGGUGCAUCGCACAGUCAAUAAAGGUAAUCCUCAACUUCUUCGUGGAGAAAAAGUGGGACUUGAGAAUUCUGUUCGCCUCUGGAGGGAUGCCUUCCUCUCACUCGGCUCUCUGUACGGCUCUAACGACUUCUGUGGCGCUCUGCCAUGGAGUGGCCGACUCGCUGUUCCCGGUAUGCUUGGGCUUCAGCUCCAUCGUGAUGUAUGAUGCUAUAGGUGUGAGGAGGCACGCUGGGAUGCAGGCUGAGGCUGGCAAGAUAGUCGAUCAGAGAGGAAUCCAACCGGCUAUUUGACAGAGAAAAUUGACUGCAGUGUCAUUAAGCGAACAACGAACUGUUGAAUUGAGAGAGUAAUCAGCUUGUGCACCUGCUGCAUUGGCUGAUCAUCAAACAUUUGGCAGUUCUGCUGUGGUCAAGAUGCCUAUUCUUGAUAAUCUAGCAACCACGGCUAUGACUUGGAGUCAAAGGCUACUUGGAGUUCCGUUGAAGGAGGAUCUUGGCUUUUCAAUGAGCCAGCGCUGCUGAAUGUUCGUAGGAUUGUGAAGCCACCUAAAGCUGUUAUAAAAGGGGGCGAGGCUCAUGCAAGAAUGCUCUAACCUGCCGGUCCUCAAUAUGAUAGUCGAGGAUCUGUUUCAAGGGCACCCGAUUAGUCAAAGAAAGCUCAAGGAACUUCUUGGCCACACACCAUCCCAGGUUUUUGCGGGGGCUGUGCUUGGCAUCAUUGUUGCGUGUGUGUGUUGCAGGGUUUGUCUGAUUGCAGUGUAGUUUAGUUGCUUUCGUGGAGCCAAUUCUUGUCAGCAUUGGUGGUUCCACGAGCCUGACCUACUGGUUGGCCAAUCGACAGGGUAGUCUUCAUCGUCCAAGGCAUUUUUGGGCGUCUUGUCGGUCAUAGUCCAAGACGGAUCAUCUGCAAAUAAAGUUCCUCUUUGUUCUCUAGUCCAGAGAUAUUAGCUGGGUUGCGGCAAUCAUAGUGAUCUGAAUGUAGCCUCUCCAUAAGUAAAUGUGAGGGCAGGUUGUAGGCGUGUUUUUCUUCUAUAUAUUUAUAAAAUGAAGAAAAAGAAUGAUCUUUUUUCUACUUGUGAAAAUUGUGCCGAGUGAGUAACCCUCUCACUAUGUUAUGUAAACCCCAUUCAAGAUUUGGUCAUUCUAAUAAAAAAUGAUGGCGAUGAUGAAUGGUCGGCAAA